GCCUUGUCAGACACAGAAUUUAUUUUCUUCGUGGUCCACCACUGAAAACAACACUGUAAAACGACAUAGCUAGGUGACUGUGCCACAAUGUCAAAAUGGAUGUGUCCAGAAAAUCCUGUGGAUUUGAAAAAGUGAGGAAGUCCUGAGAGUCUGGCAAGACAGAAGCUUCACAGUCAACCAGAGUGACCUGUUAUAGCUGAAGUCAUGUAAGGAAAAAGGCAGGAGAGAGACAGCCGGCAAGAUGAUCUGACUUGACUGUUUGGGCAAUGCCCAGUGGUGAGACCAACCAGAGGAUGCAUUAGUUCAGAGAAAAAAGUACUUAAAACAACAUUGCAAGAUAAAUAAAGAAAAUCCCUCCAUCCAUGUGAGAGUACAUUGUCCCCCCAAUGCCCACAUCAUGUGCAGGAAAAAGGCAUGUGUACAAGGAACAAACGUGGCCAGGGAACACGUGAGGAAGAAGGUAUAUGGACAGUAGAUACAAAGUCAAGCACUCUCCAUUUGAGAAUCUUCUUCAGGAACAGUGUUGAGUUAGCUUCCAACUUCUAGAGAGAAGACGGAGGAAGCCAACCCCACUUCAGGUUACUGAAGGAAAGGACUCUGGGAAGAAAUAAGAGGAGCCAGCAGUCUCCAGCAAGUUAUUAUUCCCUGCUAGCUAGACUGGAGAUUUUGGGGAAAUUCCCCCUUAGAGAAACCAAGGGGUGGAGCCAAGAUGGCAGAGGGAAUUGAACAUUUCUGCUGAGCUCUCCCAGCCCAAGCUUAACAACUUUAAAAAAAAAAAUGCCUCAAAUCAAAUUCUGAGUGGAAUAACGAAACAAAAAAGUCUCAAUAUCUCAUUUUUCCAGCUCAGGAUGGCUUAGGAGGACAGAUAGAGAGGUCUGUCUGUGGGCACUGGGUUGGGGGCUGGCUUGGAACACGUGUGGAAAAAGCAGCACUGGCUGUGGGGCCUGGAGGAGGACACAGCACCCACUCUGGUGGCAACAGCCGUGGCAGUAACAGCACCAAGAGUACUCAGUACCUAAAGAUGGUAAGAAGACUAAGCAGGUGUGCAGAUAAGAAAGAUGUUACAGAAGACACCUGUGGCAGUACUGAGCACAGGAUCGAGCACAUCUAGCAGUUUCGUCAUUCAUUACCUAGUUCCCAAUUGCAGUUCCAAUGUGGGGAGGAGAGGUUAUAGUCUGCAGUCAUGAGGGAGCAGAGGCCCUAACUGGGUAAGGACCAAAAUGUAGGCAAGGAGGAUAGUGACCAGAAUUGUCCUAGGAUCACCCCAUUUCAUAAGCACUGAAAAUCUAUAGGACCCCAGAUCUAGCCACAUAAACUUAGGUUAGCCAUCCCCUUCACCUCGCCUCGCAGAGAUCAGCAAAGCCCAACUCUAACAUAAAGUCCAAAGUCCAGAAAUAGGCUGGAAAAAUGAGAUGGAAACCACAACAGCAACAACAACAACGAAAACAACAACACCUGAUCAUAAAAAUCUUUUAUGGAGGCAGGGAAGCUCAAGACAAACUCAAAAGAAGACAAUGACUUGAAAACAUCUAUAA